GGGUCAGCGACUUAUAUUCUGUAGCAAGGUUAACCGAAUAGGGGAGCCGAAGGGAAACCGAGUCUUAACUGGGCGUUAAGUUGCAGGGUAUAGACCCGAAACCCGGUGAUCUAGCCAUGGGCAGGUUGAAGGUUGGGUAACACUAACUGGAGGACCGAACCGACUAAUGUUGAAAAAUUAGCGGAUGACUUGUGGCUGGGGGUGAAAGGCCAAUCAAACCGGGAGAUAGCUGGUUCUCCCCGAAAGCUAUUUAGGUAGCGCCUCGUGAAUUCAUCUCCGGGGGUAGAGCACUGUUUCGGCAAGGGGGUCAUCCCGACUUACCAACCCGAUGCAAACUGCGAAUACCGGAGAAUGUUAUCACGGGAGACACACGGCGGGUGCUAACGUCCGUCGUGAAGAGGGAAACAACCCAGACCGCCAGCUAAGGUCCCAAAGUCAUGGUUAAGUGGGAAACGAUGUGGGAAGGCCCAGACAGCCAGGAUGUUGGCUUAGAAGCAGCCAUCAUUUAAAGAAAGCGUAAUAGCUCACUGGUC
rnacentral:rRNA from 1 species